rnacentral:rRNA from 1 species
CCUUUGUAGCAAUACGGAGGUAUCCUAGUGGCGAACGGGUGAGUAACGCGUUGGUGACCUGCCCCAAAGUUUGGGAUAACCCCGCGAAAGCGGGGCUAAUACCGAAUGUGGUCAUCGGAUUUAGAAACCGAUGUCUAAAGGAUUUAUUCGCUUUGGGAGGGGCCUGCGUCCCAUCAGCUAGUUGGUAGGGUAACGGCCUACCAAGGCGACGACGGGUAGGGGACCUCAGAGGGUGGCCCCCCACAAUGGAACUGAAACACGGUCCAU